GCUGUUUGAACUUUGUUUUGUUUUGUACUCCGUUCUGAUAGAGAAGAAAAUGUAUUCCAAGUAUUUGCCUAGACGCUGCCUGACCUGCUGAGCUCCUCCAGCAUGUUGUGAAUUGUGAUGGAAUCCUGCCGACUGGCACACUCCAGGCUGCAGGCAUUCGUGCUGAGGGCCACACUGAAACUUAGUGCAGACACCACAAGGACUCAGUGGGAAGAGCCACAGUAUAGGGUUCGUCCGCUGCUGGAGAGACUCAUAUCUUAUAGAGGGUGCUGGAAUUCCGGAAAUAUGUUCAUUGCUGAAGUCAGAAGUCAACGUGAUCUGCCCCAUUGAUUGCUCCUUCGUGAAAGAUAAAUAUUUGGGUACAGAACUCUCUUACGAAAGUAAGAAAGCAAUCACACCACAGCACCAUGAGCUCUCACUUUUACUAAAUCAAAGUGGAAAAGUUAGAAAUACUCAUUCUGAACACUUGGGAUCUACAUGCGCUCCAAGUAGAAUACUCCGGAAUAAA